GACGAACCGUGCGAACGUUGUUCGGAAUCACUGGGCUUAAAGGGCGCGUAGGCGGGCGGCCAAGUCAGGGGUGAAAUCGUUCGGCCCAACCGGACAAGGGCCCCUGAUACUGGCUGUCUCGAGGAGGUAGGGUCGAUGGAACUCCGGUGGAGCGGUGAAUGACGUAGAUAUCGGAAGGAACGCCGGUGGCGAAGCGGCAAUCCUGGACCGAGAUCGACGCUG
rnacentral:rRNA from 1 species